AACCUGCCCAAUGAGUAGUUUAAUGGCCGCAGUAUUUUGACUGUGCAAAGGUAGCAUAAUCAUUAGUUUCUUAAUUAGAAGCUGGUAUGAAAGGUUGCACGAGAAAAUAACUGUCUCUUUAAAGUUUAUAUAGAAUUUUAUUUUUAAGUUAAAAAGCUUAAAUUUUUUUAAAAGACGAGAAGACCCUAUAGAGUUUAAUAUAAAAAUAUUUAAUAAAUUAGAUUGAAUUGGACAGAUUAUUAAUAUUUUUAUAUUUUGUUGGGGUGAUGAUAAAAUUUAAUAAACUUUUAGUUAAUUUAAACAUUAAUUUAUGAGUAAAUGAUCCAUUUAUAGUGAUUAAAAGAUAAAAUUACCUUAGGGAUAACAGCGUAAUUUUUAUGGAGAGUUCGAAUUGAUAUAAAAGUUUGCGACCUCGAUGUUGGAUUAAAAUUAAAUUUUGGUGUAGAAGCUAAAUAGUUAGGUCUGUUCGACCUUUAAAAUUUUACAUGAUCUGAGUUUAGACCGGCGUGAGCCAGGUUGGUUUCUAUCUUUAAAUAACUUAAAUAUUUUAGUACGAAAGGACCAAGUAUUUAUAAAAAUUAU
rnacentral:rRNA from 1 species